CCUCCCCACAGCUCACAAUCUUCUCUCUCUCUUUGGGAUUGUUCUUGAGAGAAGGGGAGAAGGAAUUGCAUGGGAAAUUGAUUAUUGGCUUUGAUUCUUCUUUCCCCCAACAAUAUUUCUAGUUCCUAGUCAGAUCUGGUGAAAUCAUGAAGAUGUAUACGGAAUCUGUCCAUUAUGUUAUCAAGAAACGACGGGCGUUAGGUGUUCUAGCUGUAAUGUUGGCCAUUGUCCGGUGGCGUCGUCAACGUAGACAUUACAGUCUUAGAAUGUCUCGAAGAAAGUAUGGGCCAUUGGUUGAUAGAGAUCUGGAGAGGCAAAAAAAGUUGAAUGACCUGUACAAUUCAACCGAUAAAAAUUGCAUCAGUCAACUCCGGACGACGGGGCCGCUGCGCAGUGGGUUUGAUGAUGUGAACAAACAAGUGAUGCUCUCCAAAUCUACUCUAGAUGGCUUAUCGGUAAUUAUCUCAUACAAAUUAUCUAUUUGUCGAGUGUUCAACUACUGAUGUGGAACUAACAAUAAAAUUCAUGUAGGCUAAUGAUCGUGGAAUUCUCUCUAAACCGAUUCAGUUCUACGACAAGUUGAAGGAUUAUUUAGUGGCUCGUCGGCAGAUGGCUCUUUUAUGCAAGACCCUUUCUCUGCAGCUGAAACUGACAAUGAUGAUAAGGUAAAAGAUGACAUGAUGAAUGAUAUGUCCACCUUUGAUGAAGCGAAGGGUCCAACAGGUCAUGACUCGGAUAAAUUAGAUACAGAUAGUGAUGAUUGUGAAGCGGUGGCUGCUCUUGCUGCACUGAUAGUCAAGUUUCCUCGUCCAAUGUUUUUUUGACCCUUUAACAGUAGGAGAACCUCCUACUGUUUUUGUAUUAAUAUAAAAGGGGUAACACUUUACAUGAGGAUUUUUACAUGAUGACUUUACAAUUCACCCUUCCUUUGGGAGGUGGGGGGGAACUUAAGCUAUAGAGGAGAGGAUGAGUGGGAUGAGAUUUUUAUGCUUUUCCUUAACCCUAUAGGUAAGGAGAGAAAAAUCAGUCUUAAGCCUAUCCAACCAUGAAGUCUUUGAGGGCAUCAUCCCCCUGAAAUGUUUGUUGUUGCGUUCCUUCCAGAUACUCCAUGCGGCCGUCAGGAAUAGCUCCAUGAAAAGAGGCCUGUUCCAGUUAUUCUUGGCAGACACAACUUGUUGCAGGCGAGGUUGUCCCUGAUUCCACGUAAUUCCAAGGCUGGACCAACAUUCAGUACUGAAUUGACACUCAAAAAAGAGGUGUUCCAGUGUUUCCUCAAUGUGCAGCCCACAUAGGAUGCAAUCAUAGUCAUUUCCUAUAUUGUAAUGUCUCCUCUUGAGCAUAUUUCGCGUGUUCAAUCGGUCAGAAAGGAGCAGCCAUCCAAAAACUUUAAUUUUCAUGGUGGAUUUUCCUCGUCCAAUGUUGCGGCUCUAAAGCCUAACAAGAAAAGUUUCAAAAAAAGUCCAAAGCCAAAUACUCUGCCACCACCACAAAAUGAUAAAGCUAAAAGGUCAAAGCCAAGAUCAUCUCAAGCAUCACAAGAUGACACUAAUAUGGAUGUGCUGCUCACAAGUACUUUGAUAGGCAUACGAGAAACCCUUGCAAGUCCAGUACAGACUGUAGCCCCAAAGGACCCAAAUGCUCCUUUAUGGGACAUGCUCAAGAAGAUUCCGUUGCCACCUGAUGAGAGGAUGUCGGUCGGGAUGCAUCUAUGCAAGCCAGAAUUUGCAGUCCAUCGAGGUUUUCUUGUCAACAUGGGUCAAGAAUACCUGGAGCGUUGGGUGUAUACAUACUUAUCUUAUCUGACAAUUAUCCUGCUGGCAAACGUGUCGGCGAUGAUCUUGUUGGUAACCUUGGAAACAAAGAUCCUGCUAGUAACCUUGGCGAUGAUCCUGCUGUUAACUCUAGCCCUUUCUGAGUAAGAUUGAUUGGUGGUCUACCAUAUUGUUGGAUCCUUUUGGUUGCAAAACACUAGUUUCUAAGUAGUCAAUGACUAGCUUUUGGCUAUGCACAACUGAUGUCUAAGUAAUGGCUGAUGGUGGUAUUAUUUUGCUACAGCCUUCUGCUUAGUUUCCAAGUAGUAUCAGCAUGCAUGAUAUGAUUAUUAGAUGCUAAUGUGAAAGCUGUGUUGCUUUCUGACUUGGAUAAGUUUCUAGGUAGUAUCAGGAUGAAUACAUAAUUAGACUUCUGGUUAUGUUAAUUCCACAAGGAUAAUUUGUGUAUCUCUUGCAUUCCAGAUGUGCUGGACAAUGAGUAUUAAUCAAAUGUAAUGCAUUGUGGUUAUUCAACAGCAAUGUUGCUGUGUAUCCUCAGAGUUAUAAAAUCAUUUGCCUUCAGUGUUAUGCUUAUGAAACUUCAGAUUAUUAUUACUUUUUGCUUAUCAAAUUAUUUGGCUUUGUUAUGCUUUUGAAAAGUCCGACCAUAUUUAUUUAUAUUUAUAUUUAGCAUAUGCAUAUCGGUGAUCUCCAAUCCCAGGCAAUAUAGCAACCAAACACUGCCUGGGCCAUUUAUCCACACAAGCACGUUCCCAGGUCAGCAACCAAACGCAGCCUAGAAACAUGGUCGUGCCUGGCCAGGCAUUUUUUGCUGAGAUGUCCAUGCAACUCCCAAGCAGCUAUUUUGCCCAGGCAAACCAGUGACACGAUCCAAACACACCCUUAAUUCAGGUGGGGGGUGAGUGCGGGUUGAAUCAGGCAAACGGCAGGGGGUUUUGUGCAAAACUACACGCGCUGACCGGCCCAGCCAAUUGGCGAGUUCUCAUUGGCCUGGGACUAAAACAUCACAUUGGAUGCAAGUUGAGGUAUGGAUUGGUCUAGUUUUGCAAGUUUAGGACUAGAU
rnacentral:rRNA from 1 species